rfam:TPA: Bos taurus chromosome 19, whole genome shotgun sequence.
UCUCUGGUGGCCCAGCGGUUAGGACUCUGUGCUUCCACUACAGUGGGCAUAGGUUCGAUCCCUGGUCAGGGAA